AGGGGUGUGACUCAGUGGUAGAGCCCAUGCUUAGCACACAUGGGGUCCUGGGUCCAAUCCCCAGUAUCUCCA
rnacentral:tRNA from 1 species